rnacentral:tmRNA from 1 species
UUAGAGGUUUUAUUGAUUUAUAAGCUACGUUUGACCAUUGCCUAGCUGGUCGAAAAGAGAUUUAUAGGCUCGCAUAUAGAAGGCUUGAGUUAUGUGUCGUCUAUCUGUUAAAUGAAAGACAUAACCUAUGGUUGUAGACGAAUAUGUUGGCAGAUGUUUGGACGUGGGUUCGACUCCCACCGGCUCCAUAA